rnacentral:rRNA from 2 species
UGGGGAAUAUUGCACAAUGGGCGCAAGCCUGAUGCAGCCAUGCCGCGUGUAUGAAGAAGGCCUUCGGGUUGUAAAGUACUUUCAGCGGGGAGGAAGGGAGUAAAGUUAAUACCUUUGCUCAUUGACGUUACCCGCAGAAGAAGCACCGGCUAACUCCGUGCCAGCAGCCGCGGUAAUACGGAGGGUGCAAGCGUUAAUCGGAAUUACUGGGCGUAAAGCGCACGCAGGCGGUUUGUUAAGUCAGAUGUGAAAUCCCCGGGCUCAACCUGGGAACUGCAUUUGAUACUGGCAAGCUUGAGUCUCGUAGAGGGGGGUAGAAUUCCAGGUGUAGCGGUGAAAUGCGUAGAGAUCUGGAGGAAUACCGGUGGCGAAGGCGGCCCCCUGGACGAAGACUGACGCUCAGGUGCGAAAGCGUGGGGAGCAAACAGG